rnacentral:siRNA from 1 species
UUCUCAAAGCUUUCAUGGUGUAGC